GUCGGCGUGGGGGCAGCAGCCAGCCCGAGAGCUCCCCGCCCACCCUUGGGCACUGGGGCUUGUGUCUCUAUUUAGCAGCUAGCCUUGGUAUCCAGGGUUGGAGCGUGGCCAAGGCCAGGCUUUCCCCAGAUCCUGAGCUUGUGAACUUGGCAGGCUGGAGAAGCCUUGCCGAGCUGAGCCGCUAGCCUGAAGGUUUCAAGCAAAUCACAAACGACGCGAGGGAGGUCUUUGGGAGAAAACCUGGGACUCCGACAUGAUUAGAAGCAGCAUCUCCUGGAGGCAUCACAUGCCCACCGAGCGGCAGGGAGACCCCAAGGGGAAGGAGACGUGGGCCCUGCCGCACAGGAACUGUCCUGGAAGACGACACCAACCCCAGCACACACACAGGAGUUGGUAGUGGUGGGUAGGGGCAGGUGUGGCUGAGACUUGUUGAGGGAAAAGUACAGUCCAACGGACUUUUAGAAGAUACGACGCCCGAAGAGUGAACCCUGCCCUGUGGUAGGCUAAGGCUAGAGGUAUGGUGUGUGUUUUGAACUCAGUAAAUUGGAAAAUAUUGCCUUCUCUGCCUUUAAAAAGCUUGUUUCUGGAAGCAGGUGCUUAACCUCGUGGUUGAGAUGCCCACAUGUGAUUUCCGAGUGGCCAAGUUCAACGCCCAGCUCUGGCUCCUGACUCCAGCUUCCUGAUCAUGCAGAGCCUGGGAGGCAGUGGUGAUGGCUCAGCCCUGGGUUGAAUUCCUGCCUCCCAGCUUCAGCCUGGACUUAAUCCUGGCUUUUGUGGACAUUUGGGGGGUGAACCAACAGAUGGGCGUUCUCUCUG